AGAUAAUGCUCCUCAUUGAUUUAUGUCCCGUCUGUUUAUAGAAUGUGAGGCAUCUGCUCUUUUGUAGGAUUAGUUUCAGCUCUUAUUAGGUUUGGACAAGUUUAUUUGUUUUACAGCUGAGUAGAGCCAAAGGACUCUGUAAAGAUCUGUAAAGGUGUGGUCAGAUUUAGUCUUAUUUUUUGAAAAUCUACUCAGAGAAAAGCUCCUGUUGAUCUAAUUGUGAUGGAUAAGAAGAGGUUAACAGCAAAUUUAAAGUGUGUGUGCGUUUGUGUGUGUUUGUUUGUGUCCAGGUUGCUUUUCGAAGAACCCUCAGUUCUACUUCAUUCUGUCGGAGGUGGACCGCUGUCCGGACAGAUCUAAGAAGACCUGCUCCUUUGUCCUGGCUCUGAUGCAGAAACACCAGAGAUGUCGAGGCAUCGACCUGGCCAUCGCCCUGCCCAUUUACCCGAUCGAAGAUGUACUCGCGCACGAUGAACCUGUGUGGAUCAUAGACUACACUAUGGCUCUUCACCAGGACAGACGAUACUCCACCUCACCUUGAGAUUUGGAAUGGAGAACUUGCAGCAGGAGGCCAGGUUGGUUUUGGCAGCGGUGCGCUUGAGUUUCUCUA